GUGGGGAAUGUAGUCUCAGGGCCUCCUAUGUCCCGAUUCUGAGAUGGGAGUAAGAGGCCUUUGCCCCAAGACGCUGUAUCAGUGAUUUGGCUCAGAAGGAAGAGGCUGUUGUGCUCCCUAUUAAUGAGACGUAGAAGGAUGAGAAAUGGGUCUAGGCACAACUCAAGCUAGUUUUCCAAGAAGUCUUGACCCUGAAGUGCUACAGCAUUCAAGUCUCGGUCCAGAAAUAGGACCAGGGAGUUCUUUUGGUGGAGUCAACAUCACUGACUUCCCCAGUACAGAAAACUAAACCGUAACUUGAAGGACUUCCCUAGGAGAAGGGGUCACAGUAUCUGUACCCCAGAUUAGAGGAACAGGGAAGGCCCAGAUCAUUCACCUUCCUAGUUUCCUUCUCUUCCUGAUGACAGUAAUGCUAAAGACUGGAAGAUGGUAUCUCCAAUUUUCUUACAGUCAGGUCCCAAGAGUUUUUGGAUGGAUAUCUGAAGGAAUGUCAGACAUCUUGUACUGCAAAGAGUGGUCCACCAGAUCAGACCAUCCUCCCUGGACCAGUUCUUCAAACACCGUGGGAUUUUCUCUAUUAUUUGCUGCAGUGAUUCAGUGAUAAACAUCAUCACCAGCCAAGCAACAGAAUGAGGUAGGAUGUGAUUUUCAAGUCAUUGUCCUAUUUAUUUAUGCAAAUGCUUGACUGAUUAACCCCGGUGGUUAACAGGGCACUAGAUGCCAGGU
rnacentral:lncRNA from 1 species